rnacentral:lncRNA from 1 species
GGAGAAGCUGACAGGCAACAGAUAAAUUGCACUCAGCCUUCCCACAGGUUUCUGGAAACCUUUCUCCUUACUUCCUAGUAUUAUGGCGCCCUAAAGACUGACCUCGAGGUGAAGGGUCACCAGGCAGUGAUCUGCUGGAGCGAGUGGGAGCCACACCUUGCAAGUAGCAUGCAGAUGUCAGUCACAGUCUAGUUUGCCUUGGCAGCGAUCUCAAAUGCCUGCUGUUGUUCCACUGCAAGUUACUUAUUACAUCAUUUCACUUUUUAAGGACUUUUGGUUUGGGCAACAAAUUAUAGCCACCUUAGUUACAAGUAGCAAACUUCAUGGCAUCCUAAUUUGGCACACUCAACUUAUUUUUGUUACAAGAUAGCCUCCUAGAAGAGAAAGUGGGGAGAGUCAGCACCACCCUGCUUCCGAGGUUUGUCGGAGCCAGUGAAUUCAGUUCUACUUGCGGGGAAAAUGAGGGCAAUAUUCUAUUUGAUAGGGGAUACAGUUUGCCA